rnacentral:rRNA from 1 species
UACGGAGGGGGCUAGCGUUGUUCGGAAUUACUGGGCGUAAAGCGCUCGUAGGCCGGCUGUUAAGUCGGGGGUGAAAUCCUGGGGCUCAACCCCAGAACUGCCUUCGAUACUGGCAGCCUAGAGGACGGAAGAGGCUAGUGGAAUGGCGAGUGUAGAGGUGAAAUUCGUAGAUAUUCGCCGGAACACCAGUGGCGAAGGCGACUAGCUGGUCCGUUUCUGACGCUGAGGUGCGAAAGCGUGGGGAGCAAACAGG